rnacentral:rRNA from 1 species
UACCAGACUCCUACGGGAGGCAGCAGUGGGGAAUAUUGCACAAUGGGGGAAACCCUGAUGCAGCGACGCCGCGUGAGUGAAGAAGUAUUUCGGUAUGUAAAGCUCUAUCAGCAGGGAAGAAAAACCGACCAUAGGGUCGCUAGACGGUACCUGAUUAAGAAGCCCCGGCUAACUACGUGCCAGCAGCCGCGGUAAUACGUAGGGGGCAAGCGUUAUCCGGAUUUACUGGGUGUAAAGGGAGCGCAGGCGGCCUUGCAAGUCUGAUGUGAAAGGCCGGGGCCCAACCCCGGGACUGCUCUUGGAACUGUGCGGCUAGAGUGCGGGAGGGGCAGGCGGAAUUCCUGGUGUAGCGGUGAAAUGCGUAGAUAUCAGGAGGAACACCGGUGGCGAAGGCGGCCUGCUGGACUGCGACUGACGUUGAGGCCCGAAAGCGUGGGGAGCAAACAGGAUUAGAUACCCCCGUAAA